AUGUUCUACUUCCUGACACAGAGCUUCCUGCCUCCAGCUCAGGUGAACUUGGCAGCUGUCCUUGGCUGGAAACCUGCUCAUUGUCUCUGUGAUGCUGCUGGUCCUGUGAUGAGGCCUGGUGGCAGCAGUGUGGAGGGACCGAGGGGCCAGGGCCCACAGCUGACCAGGAGCACCCCCUCCUCUUCCUCAUCUGGCAUCAGACACACCAAUAAUCGCUGAGGGUACUGAUGUUGCUGCUGACAAGUAGAAGUAAUAUCAGCAUUGACAAGAAUAACAGCAUUGGCAGGGAAACAGAGAGGCUAAGAAAACAGACUCUGGAGUUGGAUCUGACCACUCUGAGCCUCAGUGUCCUCACCUGGAAAAUGGAUUUAACAUGGUAUCUACUUACUUCAUGUAGGUGCUGGAGAUGGCACCAGAUGAACAUACAUCAUCCCUAGCAUCAGAGCAAGGGCUUAAUCUGGGAUGUGAAUUGCUGCUGUUCCUUUUAUCUAUCUAUCUAUCUAUCUAUCUAUCUAUCUAUCUAUCUAUCAUCUAUUUAUGAGAGAGGUGAAUGAGAGAGAGAGGGGGGGAGAGAAAGAAAGAGAAAGCAUGAUCAAGAAGAGGAGCAGAGGGAGAGAGAGAAGCAGACUCCCCGCUGAGUAGGGAGCCCGAUGCAGGGCUCGAUCCCAGGACUCCAGGAUCGUGACCUGAGUGGAGGCAGAUGCCCAACUGGCUGAGUCACCCAAACACCCUGAAUUGUUGCUGUUCUUACUGUCAUUGCUACAAAGACUGUUCCACCAAGGACUUCCACAGACUAGGACCUGAACCACUGCCUCCUAUAUCACAAGAGUAACAGGCUGUUGUGGCACCACAUUAGGACAACUGAGUUCCAUCAAAAGUAAGGCAUGGGUUCAAGGUACCGCAGUUAGAGGCAGACAAAGCCAGCAGUACAUUGAAGAUGUAGGUGACUCCAAGGCCUGGGCCCUCACCCAGCAGACUCUGAGCCCCCCAGGGUGUACCGCUGUGCACACUGGCCGCUGGAGGGUGCCAGGCUCACUGGGAUCUGUCCUCAGACACCCUAGGCUCAUUCCGCCUUCACCUUGAGUGAUCCUGGGCCAGCCACUUCACCUUCUUGAGAUCAGCAUGUGCCUUUGGAAGAUGAGAUCACUGCCCUACUCCACAGGGGCUAUGGGGGGAUUAAUGAAUAAGUGGAUGGGAAGCCAGAGCCCAAGGCCUGGCA
rnacentral:lncRNA from 12 species